UCCCCCCAAUCCCCUCUCGUUUGGCCGCCGCCUCCCCAUCUCCCGCUCCGCGCCGUCGGCGGCGUCCUCUCCGGCGAGCCGUCGUCGCCCGCGUCCUCUCGCUCUGGGUCAUCAAGACCAAGGGCGAGCGGUGAGCCAGGCAAGAAAAGGCGGCUCUGCCUCGCAUGGCCGAGCUCGCGUCGUCUUCGUCGGCUCCGGCAAGGCAGGGCCAUGGGGGUCGGCCGCGGUCUUCCUCGGCGGCGCGCUGGCCAUACCUCGCCGCCUCUCGCCUAGCGACCGACCCCCAAUCCGCUCGCGAGCUUCCUCGUCCCCAAUCCCUCGACGAUUUCUCUUCCGCCCCUCUUUCCUGCUCGUUUCUGCUUCUCGUCCACCUCCACUCGCCUCUGCUCUUGGGAUGCGGCUGCCUCUCCCUCGUAUGGUCGUUCUCCCGAUGUCGCCAUAGCUGGCCUUGGGCGCGAGCGCCACCUCCCUUCGUCGCCAUGACUGGCCCGGAGUAGCGCCGUCCUUGGGCGCGAGCAGUGCUUCCCAUCGUCGCCAUGGUUGGCCCGGAGAGCGCCGGUCUUGGGCGCGAGCGCCGCAUGCGGCACGAGCAGGGCGCCAGCCUUGGGUUGGACAAAAGAUUCGUGAAGGCAUCCGCCGGUCAUGCUGGUGGCGUAGAAGAGAAAGGGACGGGCCGCUGCCACCACGGAGACGAAAUUCAUCCUCACUGGCCCAGGCCAAAUAAGGACCCAUCUUUGUCUCGUAUGGGGAUAGAAGGACGGUAUCAACAGAGCUGCUCAGGCUGCUGCUGGCAAACCUUAGGGUUAGUAUUGCUAAAUAGAUGAGUGAUUCAUUGGAAAAUAUAUUCAUGUUGUAUUAUUUGAAACUCAAGCAUCAGAUAAUUAUUCUCAGAUUUAGAUAUCUUGCUACAGUCAAUUUUGUACAGAUUCAACCUUUGUAUACAAAUAGCUUAGAUUGCAGUCACAAUCACAAUGACAAGCUAGCCGGCUAUACCAACAAAGCCAAAGCAAAACAAAAAUUAAGGAAACCUUGUGAUAUGCAUAGAUCCGAGUUUCAGGGGAUCUAGGUUCUCUCUGGUGGAUAGGGGUUUUAUAUAUGUGAUCAUAUCCGCGGAGAUGGUGAAAUGGGUUGGCAGUGUUAUGAAGCUGGGAAGCUGUUGAAGAAGACCAACACUUUCACUGACUUAGUUGCUUGUGCUGAGCAGUAAAGAAACGUUUUGUAUCAGCGGGAGAAGUGCAUGUGGCAUGUUGAUGGGUAUUAUCCUAAAUAUGAGGCCUGACUUAUUCAAGCCAACUGUUGCUGAGGUGCCUUUAGUUGAUGUUCUCACAACUAUGCUUGAUCCAGCUAUCCCGUUGACUGCAGCUGAAUGGGAGAGUGAGCAACUCUUGUGGAAUGAGAGGAAAUGACAAGCCGUUUGUGCAAAAUAGGAGUUAAUCGAAGAGCUGGAGUCUAGAGGGAAAAAAGUUCAGAUUUUGCGACAGUAUUUCAGAGAAGCUGGUGUCGGUUAUCUUAGAUAGUCCCAACAAGGUUUCUCUAAAAGGAUAUUCACAAGAAGAGUGGACCAUAGAUGAGAGUGAUGAACCAUAGAUGAUGGAAAUACUUAAAUAUAGAUGGAGAUAAUGCUGAACUAAAAGCGCCUACGGGUUUGUUGGACAAUCGUCAUCGGCCAUGGUGGAGGGCUGGAGGAGGGAGGUGGAGCAGGAACGUCGGUCGCACUCCAUCCUACACGCCGAUGCCCCCUCCUGGUCUCGGAAAAAGAGGCCAAGUCAUGCCAGGCAACAACGAGCAGGGCGGUCAACGCAGUUGUUGGGACAGGCUGCCGGAGUGGUGUUCUUGACCUCAUGUGCAGCUGGGAAAAGAUGUCCGCUUUGUUGUACUGCAAGCUGCUGAUGGCAGGGUGAGCUUUCUCUCUCCCUCUCUCUCUAUUGCCAUAUGCUAUGGUUCUGUAGUCACAUCCUUGUUCUUGCUUGAUUGAAAUAUUGGUCGUCACAAAUUUGCAAUGUUUCCCUGCACAUUUGCACACCACUGCAACAUUGUAGCCUCAGUAUAUGUGAUGACCUUGCCCGACUAUCACCGUCCUGCACAGCGGCCGCCCGGCUCCGCCUCCUCCAGAACUAGAGGCGCAAGAAUAUGUUGAUCUUAGGCUUUGGUGUACAGGAUCAUUGAGAAGGUUUAGAGUAUCCUUGAUGCUCUAUUUGGGUAGGGAAGACCAAAAAGUGUUGCCUACCAAUGGAAGAUUGUGUGUGCUCAAAACUUGCUCCGUGCAAUUUGUAUGGCGGCAUAAAAUUUUGGCUGUACAUGCACCAAAGAUCUGUCUUAAGAUUUCUGUUGUACUCGCCGCCAGGACCGUUGCCAGCACUCAGCAAGAUCUCGGCUUUGUACAUCCUUCUGGUUGAAUGAUUCCCAGUGAUUGAUCAUGCUCAGAGUCCAGAAUCCAAACAUGCUGAGUUAGUCCAGAAAAAUAGGCAAGCCACCAAUCUGAACUAAAUUUUGACUAGGAUCAUUCUUUUUUCAAUCAUUCUUAUGCUGCUAUUUAAUUUAUCUUUGUACAAAACACAUCCAUGUGUUAAGUCAAUGUGCGCAUGAUUCUUAGACCGUUAAUAGCGCGUAAACAUUUGGAUCGCGGGUUACAUUGCUACAUGCUGGCCAAUUAUUUGUAACUUUUCUUAUGUACUUUGUUGAAUAAAUUGGAAAGAGAAGUAUUUUGUUAGUAAA